AAAGAAGGAGAAAUACAUUGUAGGUUUUGGUCUUUUCAUAGACUACAACUAGACUAGAAUUAGCUACUAUUCUCUCUUUUCCAAUCAAGUUUUGAACAUCUCAUGAUACCAAAUGGAUUGUAGAGCACUUGAGUUAAUAACAUCAGUAGAUUAGUUGGGUGCAGACUAUAUCUCUAACGUUUAGGGACUUGAGGAUUGAAGUGGUCGGACCAAUAUUGGCAGCACUUGUAACAAAAGACCAACACAGAAAAACAAAUGAAUUAUAUCCAUGCCAUUUUAAACUUGAACUUGCCAUCUGUACGCUACAAUAGAGCGCUACUGUUCUUAGUUUCAGCAACAUCUAAUUCAUGCAACAACUUCCAAUCAAUACCAUUAUACCAGUGGCAGUAUGUUGAAGAAAUGUAAUUUUUAAGGACAGAACAGCAGCGAGAGAAAAAACAAGUAGAAGAGGAAACAGCUGAAGAAGUGCAUGAGGAAGUAGUAAGGGACAGCUUGAGGAAGUACUGAAACUGGAAAGUGAGGGAAAAGGAAAGAUGAAUGCACAGCUUCAUAGAGAAAAGUCCAGCAAGAAGAGACUGAAAAAUAGACUGUGAGCUUAUGUCAAAGACCAUAAAGCAAAGCUUAAAGCUGAAGAGGCAGAAAAAAAACUCUCUGAUGCCCUGAAAGUUCCUCCUCCAGAGACUGCAGAGUUUUUAUAUCAUCAAAUGAAAACUUGCGGCCGAAAACAGAGAAAAUUCCCAACAUUGAUCAAACAGCUGGGUGUGCAGAUUUUCCAUCAUAGCCUGAAUGCCUUCGGGACGCUGAGGAGGCGUUUUAUUCUUCCAUCCCCAUCAACUCUUCAACGGUUCAUAAAUAUCAAUGCGGGCCAGUUCCAUGCAAGAGUAGUUUCACAAUCUCAUGGAUCACAAUAAAAUAUAAGCCUAGACUGAUGUGUCAGCAGUGCAUAAUAUAGUUCAAUAACAUAUUGUAAUAUUAGACUUUCUGGACUAUUACCAUGUUUCUGUUCUGCUAUUACAAAUAUAUGACAAUGUCAGUCCAUUCCACUAACAGGCUACUGCUCCUCAUCUUUACAGCCAGGUUUCCUUGAUCCAAUCCUGAACCAGAUGGCACAGCAGGUCAUAAUAACGAAGCCAUCUGAGCUUGCCGUUUCAUUAGUUUUUGAUGAGAUGGCGAUCAGAAAACAUUUCGAUUACAGUCAGGCAUUGGACAGGAUAGAUGGACUCGUGGCCAAAGGCGAGGUGGCUAACCAAGCCGUGGUAUUGAUGACUGGAGGAGUGGCGUCAAAGUGGAAGCAAAUUUAGGAUACCUCCUGGCCAAAGCUACUCUCUCUGCAGGAGAAACAGCAGAAAUACUGUCAGAGGCUGUGAGGUGUUAGUUUUACAGUAAUUUCUGUGGUCUGUGACCAAUCGUCUUCUGACAUAAAGACACUGAGGCUGUUAGGAGCCAGCCUGGACUUUACAUUUAAGAAAAUUCCACUGAUAUUUGAUGUGCCUCAUCUUGUUAAGUUUGUUCAUAGCAACCUUA